rnacentral:rRNA from 1 species
AUUGAACGCUGGCGGCAUGCUCUACACAUGCAAGUCGAACGGUAACAGGGAGCUUGCUCCGCUGACGAGUGGCGAACGGGUGAGUAAUGCGUCGGAACGUGCCGAGUAGUGGGGGAUAACGCAUCGAAAGGUGUGCUAAUACCGCAUACGUACUGAGAUAGAAAGUGGGGGACCUUCGGGCCUCACGCUAUUCGAGCGGCCGACGUCUGAUUAGCGAGUUGGUGAGGUAAAGGCUCACCAAGGCGACGAUCAGUAGCGGGUCUGAGAGGAUGAUCCGCCACACUGGGACUGAGACACGGCCCAGACUCCUACGGGAGGCAGCAGUGGGGAAUUUUGGACAAUGGGCGCAAGCCUGAUCCAGCCAUGCCGCGUGUCUGAAGAAGGCCUUCGGGUUGUAAAGGACUUUUGUCCGGGAGCAAAUGCUGGUGGCUAACAUCCACCGGAGCUGAGAGUACCGGAAGAAUAAGCACCGGCUAACUACGUGCCAGCCGCCGCAGUAACAC